GGUUGUAAACCCCUUUCAGUGGGAACGAAAUUGACGGUACCCACAGAAGAAGCCCCGGCCAACUACGUGCCAGCAGCCGCGGUGAUACGUAGGGGGCGAGCGUUGUCCGGAUUUAUUGGGCGUAAAGAGCUCGUAGGCGGCUUGGUAAGUCGGGUGUGAAACCUCCAGGCUCAACCUGGAGACGCCACUCGAUACUGCCCUGGCUAGAGUCCGGUAGGGGAUCACGGAAUUCCUGGUGUAGCGGUGAAAUGCGCAGAUAUCAGGAGGAACACCAGUGGCGAAGGCGGUGAUCUGGGCCGGUACUGACGCUGAGGAGCGAAAGCGUGGGGAGCGAACAGGAUUAGAUACCCUGGUAGUCCACGCCGUAAACGUUGGGCACUAGGUGUGGGGCCUUAUCGACGGGUUCCGUGCCGCAGCUAACGCAUUAAGUGCCCCGCCUGGGGAGUACGGCCGC
rnacentral:rRNA from 1 species